rnacentral:rRNA from 1 species
UACGUAGGGUGCAGGCGUUACUCGGAAUUACUGGGCGUAAAGCGUGCGCAGGCGGUUUCUUAAGUCAGAUGUGAAAGCCCCGGGCUUAACCUGGGAACUGCGUUUGAAACUGGGAGACUCGAGUGUGGCAGAGGGGGGUGGAAUUCCACGUGUAGCAGUGAAAUGCGUAGAUAUGUGGAGGAACACCAAUUGCGAAGGCAGCUCGCUGGGACGUAACUGACGCUGAGACGCGAAAGCGUGGGGAGCAAACAGG